UUGCAAGUAUCGUGCGUGCCCUUGUGAGUUUGGAGGGUGCCGGUCAACGAAGCCACGCGAGGUAUUUGAAAGGCAAUCAGCCCGACCGUCCCCCUAGAUUCAUCGGAGAAGGAACUAGGUGAAUAUUGCCCUGGGUCCUGGUAAUUCUACCUACUGAAGACAAAAGCCCCUUCUGCUCAUAUUUCCUGAGUCAACAUGGCCGUUCCUAACUUUGAAGAGACUUUAGACAUUCUUUGUUACAAUGAGCCCAGAAGAAAGAAGAGAAAUAAUAACUGCCAUGGAAGGAUGCUCCUCCUGCCAAUUGGCACUUAUCAAUGACAUCGAGGGAGAGGGACAGAGUGCCUAGGUAUGAGCCUUCAUCAAGUAGUAUGAAGGCCCUACCCCAACAGAAAGUGCUGAUGUGAAGAAGUGAUGCUUUGGACAAGACUUUUCCUCCAAGUUGGUCCUAUCCAGAGGUUGGCAAACAGGGUCCCUGGACAUCAUCCCUGUUGUGUACUAUUAUGAAUAAAGUUCUAUAGGACACAGA